AAAAACUUUCUUUAAGCCAGUGGAUGUGAACAGCUACAUCCAACACACAAGUUGCCAUUUUAGUCCAUGGCUAAAUAAUGUGCCAAGCAGUCAAUUAAUUAGGAUGAAAAGAAACUGCACAGAAGAAAUAAUUUUUCUAGAACAAAGCCAAAAGAUUAUUAAAGAUUUUAAAGAACGUGGGUAUAAGGAAGGUUUUUUAAAUGAAACUAAAAGAAAAGUAGACAAAUUAGAAAGAAAUUAGAUUUUAAAGUAUAAGGAGAAGAAGAAAAAUAAUACGGUGCCGAAUAUCCC